rnacentral:misc_RNA from 1 species
GAAAUGCGAUAAGUAAUGUGAAUUGCAGAAUUCAGUGAAUCAUCGAAUCUUUGAACGCACAUUGCGCCCGCCAGUAUUCUGGCGGGCAUGCCUGUUCGAGCGUCAUUUCAACCAUCAAGCCCCCGGCUUGUGUUGGGGACCUGCGGCUGCCCGCAGGCCCUGAAAAACAGUGGCGGGCUCGCUGUCACACCGAGCGUAGUAGCAUACAUUCACGCUCAGGGCGUGCUGCGGGUUCCGGCCGUUAAACGACCUUCAUAACCCAAGGUUGACCUCGGAUCAGGUAGGAAGACCCGCUGAACUUAAGC